rnacentral:rRNA from 1 species
AUUGAACGCUGGCGGCAUGCCUUACACAUGCAAGUCGAACGGUAACAGGUCUUCGGAUGCUGACGAGUGGCGCACGGGUGAGUAAUACAUCGGAACGUGCCCGAUCGUGGGGGAUAACGAGGCGAAAGCUUUGCUAAUACCGCAUACGAUCUACGGAUGAAAGCGGGGGAUCUUCUGACCUCGCGCGGACGGAGCGGCCGAUGGCAGAUUAGGUAGUUGGUGAGAUAAAAGCUUACCAAGCCGACGAUCUGUAGCUGGUCUGAGAGGAUGAUCAGCCACACUGGGACUGAGACACGGCCCAGACUCCUACGGGAGGCAGCAGUGGGGAAUUUUGGACAAUGGGCGAAAGCCUGAUCCAGCCAUGCCGCGUGCAGGAUGAAGGCCUUUGGGUUGUAAACUGCUUUUGUACGGAACGAAAAGCCUCUUUCUAAUAAAGAGGGGUCAUGACGGUACCGUAAGAAUAAGCACCGGCUAACUACGUG